CCGGAGCCGAUCUGCCACGGCCGCCCUUCCCCAAACCACCAACCGCCACCCCUUCCCAGGUCGUCGCCGCGCCCCUGGCCGCGAGCACCGUGGGCGUCGACCGCCUCUGACCUCCGCGGCCCCGGUGACCUCCUGCUGCGCCGCCGCAGCCGGAUCUAGUCGUCCUCCUUCAGGUGCCCCCCAUCCCGACCCUGGCAUCGCCCAUCCCUCCACCACCUCGGAUCUACGCCGUCUUCGCCGCUGGGGGAAACAGCAUCCCUACCCUGCGUUGAGGUCACCGUGGCCCUCUCCCCAGAUCCGGCGAGCCCCCUCGAGGCCCUCUCCUCCCCAGCUCCUAUGCAGUUUGCCUUAUGGGCCCUCGCCAUCUCCGGCGAGUGUGGUGCAGUGCGGGGCUCGCAUGGGUGCAGUCCAGGGACGCAGUAGGGCCGUGGUGGCGCUGGGCUACGGCUGAGCGACGGGUUCGAUGGAUCGAUGGCUUUUGCUACAAGAUCUGCACUACAUCAAGCUCCCCGCUGCAUCGAGCUCCCGCUGCAUCGGCUCCUCACCAAGCGCCCUCCCAAAUUACAACAAGACAACAGUUUUGUUUGCCGAGGCAUCGCUGGGACGGUGCUGGAUGGGGGCGCCGGCGCAUCCGUGCGGGUGUGUAGUUUGCCGGCGCGGCGCGUGUGGUACACUGGUUCCGGUGAUGUUGUUCGCCGGCGUACUCCCCUAUCCAACAGAGAGUAACAUUUGUCACUCCGACGGGGAUCUCACAUGCAGUACACUUGGGCGACGUUGGGAUUGCAUCCAGGAUUUGCAAGUUUGAGCGGGCGGGCGGGCGUGCAGCUCACCAACCUCUGCCUCGCAGCUCGUUUGGCUCUGGUUGGGUCAAAUGGAACUUGACCCAGAACCUAGGAAUUUGAUUCCAUUUUUGUUUGAGGAGUUUUUAUGUAAACUUGGACAGUAAAUUUGUGUAACUAUAAAAAAGAACAUUACAGUUCUCUCGA